rnacentral:rRNA from 1 species
UACGUAGGGGGCGAGCGUUAUCCGGAAUUACUGGGCGUAAAGCGCACGCAGGCGGGUUCGCCAAGUUUGGAGUGACAGUUGUCGGCUCAACCGACAAAGGACUUCAAAAACUGGUGAACUUGAGGACGAGAGAGGAACAUGGAACUCCAGGUGUAGUAGUGAAAUGCGUAGAUAUCUGGAAGAACACCGAUGGCGAAGGCAAUGUUCUGGCUCGUUUCUGACGCUCAGGUGGCGAAAGCCAGGGGAGCGAACGGG